GGAGGAAGAAAAUAUAAUUAAAGCUAAUCUCUAUUGUCAGGAGGGAAGUUACCCCCUCAUAUAGUGAUCGCCUACAUAGUAUAAUCUGUUAUCAAUACACUAAUUCCAUCUAAAUGAAUUGGUUGAUCGUCCAUUGCUUAAUCAAGUAAACAGAUGAUGAUUUUAUCAUAACUUGAUCAUAAAAGCAUGAGACAACAGC
rnacentral:lncRNA from 1 species